rnacentral:lncRNA from 1 species
GGGUUUUUGCCAUGUUGCCUAGGCUGGUCUCAAACCCCUGACCUCAAGUGAUCUGCCCGUCUUGGCCUCCCAAAGUGCUGGGGUUACAGGUGUGAGCCACUGUGCCUGGCCAGCUGCACUUCUUACUCUCCUCCUAAGAGAAGCCCGAUUUUGUUUUCAGAGUGCUCCUUGUGUGAACUGGGGUUGUGGGAAGGAGUGACAUUUCCCUUCCUUUGUUCAGACGGGGUGAAGACUUAACUUACAGGUAAGGGAGGCCCUUGACUGACGUGGGGUGGGAACUGUUUCGAGCUGUCCUUAUCUCUGGGCCUGUUUCCUGACCUGUGAGAUGGGCCUGUUUCCUGACCCGUGAAAUGAGAAGGUUGGGUGGGAUCAGUUUCCCAGGCUUGCCUGUGGUGAGUAGCCCCCGGAGUGCUCAUUCAAAAGCCACUCUGCUCUCCCGAAUGAGAAUGUUUAGGAGUGAACUCUGUCAUGAGCAGGCAUCCAAGUGAUCCUCCCCUUCAAGGAUGUUUGGGAAUGGUGGUCUGCACAGUCUCUAACAGAUCUUCCAACUCCAAAACUCCUGUCCCGGCUAUGUCUGGAAGGCAGUGACUCCUAACUAUUCCUGAGACCCAAAUGGCUUUGCAAGUCUUACAACAGCUGUGGAUGUUCUGUUUAGUAAAAACGUAUACAGACACAGAACUUCAAAUUCAGUUGCAGGGUCUGUGGCUUUUGAUUAAGAAUUCCUACUUUAAGGUUAACCCUUGAAAGAGAAUGUAAGCAUUCACUUGAGCCAGGCAUGAAGCAGCUGCUCACUAAAGGUCAGUUAUUAUGCUAUUUCUGUGUCUCAGCUUUUCUAUGAAAUUCUCAUAUUGUUGUCUCAUUGUAUAGGUGAGGACACUGAGGCAUAGAGAGAUUAACAUGCAUUGUAAGUUGUGGCUGAAUUUGAACUCAAACAGUCUGAUUCCAGAGCCAGUGUGAACUUAAAAUCUGGGCUGCCUGAUAAAGUGGUUAUCAGUUUUGCCUACUUGAAUUCAUGGCACUUUCUGCUCCUAAUAUUUCUGGCCACUUCCCUAUACCUCCUUAUAUUAGUCAUAAUUAAGUAAGCAGCUACUAUGGUAUGAGGCCACCACUUCUCCUGUUGUCCUUCCCAGUUUCUCCCCAACCUCCCCUUUUCCCUAGUUUAUAAGACAGGAGAAAAGGGAGAAAGCAAAAAGUUGGAAAGAAACAGAAGUAAGAUAAAUAGCUAGACGACCUUGGCACCACCACCUGGCCCUGGUGGUUAAAAUAAUAAUAAUAUUAACCCCUGACCAAAACUACUGGUGUUAUCUGUAAAUUCCAGAUGUUGUAUGAGAAAGCA